GGCCGCGUAGUUCAAUGGAUAGAACAAGAGUUUCCUAAACUUUAGAUGCAAGUUCGAUUCUUGCCGUGGCUA
rnacentral:tRNA from 1 species